UUUACACCCAUCAGUUUUCAUCAUCGAGUUAGAACUCUCUACUUCUUUGGUGAUUUUUUGGCCAUAAAAUUAGAUAGGAAAAAGAAGCUUCACCUCAGCCUCAUACAUACAUCAAGCAGCCAAAGUCUAAACAGAGAAGAAAAGUCAGUGGUCAGAAAAGCUUCUUGGGAGGAUCAUCAUAUUUGGAGUGAUCAUGUUUACCAUUUCAGAGGGAUUUGCUGUUAUAUCUGCAACUAAGAACCUCAAACUACCGUUCAUGGAAGAUGUAUUUGCAUCAGGGAGCACAAGAUUUUUGGAAUGGGUGGUUUCGGAAAAUCAGGUUAAUAUUGUUGAAGGGUGGCUAGAAUAUAUAAGACCUCAAGCACGAGUGUUCAUAGAAACUAAAAAAAAACCAACACUUGUGAAGCAAAAGGAAGGGCCCCCGACACUUGUACAAAAAGAUUUGACUCCAACUGAAGAACUCACUCUCAAUUGGAUUAUGCAAAAUCCAUUGCAUUUUCCAUUUGAGGAUGACAU